UGGCUCAGAUUGAACGCUAGCGGGAUGCCUUACACAUGCAAGUCGAACGGCAGCACGGACUUCGGUCUGGUGGCGAGUGGCGAACGGGUGAGUAAUGUAUCGGAACGUGCCCAGUAGCGGGGGAUAACUACGCGAAAGCGUAGCUAAUACCGCAUACGCCCUACGGGGGAAAGCAGGGGAUCGCAAGACCUUGCACUAUUGGAGCGGCCGAUAUCGGAUUAGCUAGUUGGUGGGGUAACGGCUCACCAAGGCGACGAUCCGUAGCUGGUUUGAGAGGACGACCAGCCACACUGGGACUGAGACACGGCCCAGACUCCUACGGGAGGCAGCAGUGGGGAAUUUUGGACAAUGGGGGAAACCCUGAUCCAGCCAUCCCGCGUGUGCGAUGAAGGCCUUCGGGUUGUAAAGCACUUUUGGCAGGAAAGAAACGUCGUGGGUUAAUACCCCGCGAAACUGACG
rnacentral:rRNA from 1 species